rnacentral:rRNA from 1 species
GACGGAGGGGGCAAGCGUUGUUCGGAAUUAUUGGGCGUAAAGGGCUCGUAGGCGGAUCCGCCAGUCUGACGUGAAAUCUCCACCGCUCACCGGGGAGGGGCCGUUGGAUACUACGGAUCUGGAGUUCGGCAGAGGACCAUGGAAUUUCGGGUGUAGCGGUGGAAUGCGUAGAUAUCGAGAGGAACACCAGUGGCGAAGGCGAGUCUCUGGACGACUCCUGACACUGAGGCACGAAAGCUAGGGGAGCAAACAGG